UACGUAGGUGGCAAGCGUUGUCCGGAAUUAUUGGGCGUAAAGCGCGCGCAGGCGGUCUCUUAAGUCUGAUGUGAAAGCCCCCGGCUCAACCGGGGAGGGUCAUUGGAAACUGGGAGACUUGAGUACUAGAGAGAAGAGUGGAAUUCCACGUGUAGCGGUGAAAUGCGUAGAGAUGUGGAGGAACACCAGUGGCGAAGGCGACUCUUUGGCUAGAAACUGACGCUGAGGCGCGAAAGCGUGGGGAGCAAACAGG
rnacentral:rRNA from 1 species